rnacentral:rRNA from 1 species
UUGGAGGGCAGUCUGGUGCCAGCAGCCGCGGUAAUUCCAGCUCCAAUAGCGUAUAUUAAGUUGUUGCAGUUAAAAAGCUCGUAGUUGAACUUCGGGGUUUACCCAUUGGUCAGGCUUAAUUGUCUGCACUGGUGAGAUGAAUCUCUACCUUCUGAGGAACUUUCAUGCCAUUUAUUUGGUGUGAUGGGAAAUCAGGACUGUUACUUUGAAAAAAUUAGAGUGUUUAAAGCAGGCUAACGUCUGAAUACAUUAGCAUGGAAUAAUGAAAUAGGACGGACUGAUUCUAUUUCGUUGGUUUCUAGGAUCACCGUAAUGAUUAAUAGGGAUAGUUGGGGGCAUUAGUAUUCAAUUGUCAGAGGUGAAAUUCUUGGAUUUAUUGAAGACUAACUACUGCGAAAGCAUUUGCCAAGGAUGUUUUCACUAAUCAAGAACGAAAGUUAGGGGAUCGAAGACGAUCAGAUACCGUCGUAGUCUUAACCAUAAACUAUGCCGACUAGGGAUCGGACGAAGUUAAUUUUAUAAUGACGCGUUCGGCGCCUUACGAGAAAC